UGAACUGUACAGGGGAGGAAAAAUGCCAAUUAAAUUGCACAAUCUCCAGCUUGGAGGGCUGUACUUUAGCAAACCUAACUGUAACCAGAUUUUGAUCCCCAAUUUUUUAAGGCAAAGAAAAACACUUUUUUUGUUAUUGUUGUUUUUAAGAAAAUGGCAAGAAGUUCAUUCGGGCUGUCUGCUUCUUUGUUCAACCUAAGAACUCUUAAAAUCAAGAGCUCUAGGGAGCUGAACACAAGAGGCAGAAAAGGGCCGCCAAUGUCCUGGAAGCUGUAACCGCGGUAACAGUACUUUUGCUAAAUUAGAACAGUUGUUUAAAUUCUCUGGUGAUCUCACUUGCUCUUUGCCACAGCUCUGCAGAACAGGCAGGACGGUCUAUACUGUGGCCAUUGGGCAGUCAAGGCAUUCGGGUAGGAGCGCUUAACUGCCUCGCUCACCACCUAUCCCCGCGACAGGACCCGGGAGCUGGCGCGCCUUCCCAUUGGCCCUGAGCGGGAAGCCCCGCCCCACAUCACGGAGCCAAUCACCGAAGGAGCGCGCGCAAGGUCAGGAUUACCAAAUCCAACCCCUUUCAACCCCAAGACCCACUCCGUAGAUACGGUGGAGGGAAUAGAGAAGAAUCGAGAUGUUCAGACCCCGGAACGGGGCCGUGGAAGGCGGACGAGAACCGCUGGUAGUACCUGCUUUAGUGUUAGCGUCACUGGCGGUAAACGAGAAGCCGCCAUGACUGUCAGCACGUCCCGCCGGAGCCGCAACGCGCAGGAACGGAAGUGGGGGCACGGCCAGGGGGCGGGGCGAGCUCGGGUGCCUGGGAGACAGCCUGCGAACGGUGCGCUGGCGCCCGGCAGUUGGGACUGAAUCCCGCUCGUGUGGGCUCCUUGCCGGCUUUGUAGCCUUGUGCAAGAAGUGUCACCUGUCUGAAUAUUCUCCUCCGUGAAAUGUUUUAAUAGUUCCUGAGUCAUAAGUUGUGAGAAUGAAAUAAGAAUGGUAAGGCACUUAGCACAGUGCCCGGACGUGGUUAAGUUUCUUAAAAGGAAGUUAAUAUUGAGGAGGAAGGAGUAGAAGCCCUCUACUAUUUGAAAGGUUGGUUCUAACCGCCCCGCCCCGAGGCGCCUGGGAAGACAAACCUGAUGAUCUGCUUCCAACAGGUUGCAGCCACGAAAAUCCUAUGGAGCACAGUUCUGCUCGAUACUGGAGGGGUGGGAAUUGACUCCACGGCAGGUGACAACAUGUUAUUUUAAUUUCCACUUUUUAAACGUGUAUAAAUACUAAAAUCUAAAAUGUUAAUUUUUUUUUCUCCCGUGCUCAAACUGCUCUUUUCUAUUGCAAGCAUUUUUCAGUAGUAGGUAGUCCUCAUGAUCAUUUGUAAUGGCUACCCAGCAAGACUUUAAGUGGCUGCACCGUUGUGGUUUUAAACAUUUCUCAUUAUUUAUAAUGAAAAACUGAACACCCUUGCGCCUCAAGCCUUUAUUUCUUCAUAGUUGUUUUUGCCUUCUCCCCACAAUACACACCAUACACCCUUAGGUUAUAGUACUGGAAGUGGGGUUAGUUUAUCUUGGCAGUAUUACUUUUCCAAAAAGGAGUGUACUGAAUUAAAAUGUAACCAAGAACGUUCCCUCAAUUACCCGUUUAUCGAGUGCUAACUUUAUUUAGGGCAGUGGUUUAAGCGCUGGAGCUCUAGACGCAGAUUGCCUUGCUUGUUAGAAUCCUGCUGUCCUCUUCGUAGCUGUUCUGGGUCAUUAACCUCACCUGGUCAGUUUUCUCCUCUGUAAAGUAAAGCAGGAAUGCCUGGGUGGUGCAAAUGGUUGUGCUUGGUUGCUAACUGGCACCUCGGAAGAAAUGUCUGGCAGUCUAAUUACAAAAAAAUCAGCCAUUGAAAACCCUGUGAGGCACAGUUGUACUCUGACACACAUGGGAUCACUGAGUUGGAAACUGCCGCUUAUCAGGGCAAUUGAUACUGGUUUAAAAUGAAAUUAACAUAUAUUUCAGAGUUGUGUUUUACAUAAUGCACUCAGAAUAGGACCUCACAUAUCAGUACUCUGCAUUCGUUAGCUCUUCUGAACAUUGUGAUGCAAAACCCAAGGUCACAUUGUCAAUUAUGUAUUUUUCAAAUUUUAAUAAAUUAGCAAUAAAACUAACAGCUGAUUGAUUUUGUACUGGUAACGUUAAAUAUCCCUCUCCACUUUUGGUUACGCUUACUUUGUGUCUGUUCUUGACUGGUGCAUUUAUAAUUAGGACCUUUACUCUUAAUUUUAUAUGGGCUAUUUGCAAAGUUGGAAACCCUCGUGGCGUAGUGGUUGAGAGCUACAGCUGCUAACUAAAAGGUCUGCAGUUCGAAUCCACCAGGCGCUUACUGGAAACCCAAUGGGAGCAGUUCUGCUCUGUCCUAUAGGGUUGCUGUGCGUUGGAACCUACUCAAUGGCAUUUGGUUUUUAUUUGCAAAGUUUGUUGUUUAAAUUUUUAUUUUGGUCAUUUUAUUUAUCCAUACAGAAGCUCUAAGUCUCUAUCCAAAUCACAUGUAUUUUUUUCUUUCGAUGCUUUUUCAAUUUCAUCUUCAACCCCCCAGAUUUUGUUACCCAGUUUUUUUCAUUGUCUUGUUAAUCGUUUUAUUGUGCUUUAAGUGAAAGUUUACAGCUCAAGGUAAUUUCUCAUAUAAAAAUCUAUACAUAUAUUAUUGUGUGACACUAGUUGCAACCCCUGUAAUGUGACAGUACACUCUCCCUUUCCACCCCAGGUUUCCCGUGUCCAUCCAACCAGCUCCUGUCCCUUUUUGCCUUCUCAUUUUGCCUCUGGACAGGAGCUGCCCAUUUAGUCUCAUGUAUCUACUUGAGUUAAGAAGCCCUGUCUUCACGAGUAUCAUCUUAUGUCUUAUAGUCCAGUCUAAUCUUUGCCUUAAGAGUUGGCUUCAGGAAUGGUUUCAGUUCUGGGCUAACAGAGUCCAGGGACCAUGUCUUCCAGGGUCCUUCCAGUCUCAGUCAUAGUCUGGUCUUUUUACCAUAAUUUGAGUUCUGCAUCCCACUUUUUCCUGCUGCAUUAGGGACUCCCUGUUGUGUUCCCUGUCAGGGCGGUCCUUGGUGGUAGCUGGGCACCAUCUAGUUCUGGUCUCAGGCUGAUGGAGUCUCUGGGUUAUGUGGCCCUUUUGUCUCUUGGGCUAGUGUGUGUCUUUGGUGGUCUUCAUUCUCCUUUGCUCCAAGUGGGUUGGGACCAACUGAUGCAUCUUACAUGGAUGCUCUUGAGCUUUUACACUUUUAAUUUUUAAAAUAUUUACUUGAUCUAGAAUUUACUUUGGUUCAUGGUGUGUUGUGGAUCUGUUCUUUUCCAGCUGCUAAACUGUAAUCUCAACACCAUGUAUUAAGUAAUCCAUUUCCUUGGGCUGUGUGAUGCCUCUCUGGCUAUGUUAGAAAUUUAGGGUCUGAGAAAUCUGUCCAGUAUUGUUUCUUCUUGAACCAGUAUCAUGUUGCUUUUAAUUUCUGUUGCUGUAUUUUAUGUUUUAUUAUCUGUCAGGACUACUCCCCUAUAGUUUAUCAGAUUCUUCUAUUGUGCCUUUAGUGUUCUGUAUGACUGUAGAAAUGUUUUCUGUCAUUUUCCUCCACAUCAUCUUAGGAUCUUCAGUGGAAUUUAGCUGAAUCUACAAAUUUUACAUUUUUACACAUUUCAUCUUCUUGUCCAGAAACAUUCACUCAUUCCAGACACUAGUCAUACUGUCAGGAAUCAUAUAUGCUCCUUACUCUUAAAAAGACUCAUGCUUUGGGCAGGAAGAUAUUAGUCAAACAUAGUAUUAUAGAUGACAUAUUCACAUUCAUACAGUGGGAGCUCAUUCUUCCCAGAGGGCAUACCCGGGCUCGGUGAUGGUCAGGCAAGCAAAUUAGGUAAGAGGAUUCCAGACAAUACAUGGAACACUGGCAGAUUCCAGGGAUUCCCUGUGACCAGGUCACAGUGUGGUGGGGAUGCUGGGAACAAUGAUACAGGAAAGUCAGGCAAGAGCCUCCUAGGUCAUGCCAAGAAGCUUGCCUAAUAUCCAUUUCACAACAGGGAGCUCUGACAGGUUUCUCAGCUGGAGACAUUUGAGGAAAAAUCUCCUUUGGUAUUGUAAGAUGAAGAAAGCAAAGACAAGUGAUUAGUUGGGUUACCAUUAAAGUAGUGUAAGCUAGAGAUUAAAAGAGCCUCUGCUGCUGUGUGGUCAGAGGAGAGGAGAAGGGAUGAAAGGAUAGAAGUGUCCACAAGUUGGAUCAGACAAGAUAAUUAAUUUGGGGUGUAGAUGGAGGUGGGGAGGGGAGUAAGGCGCAGGUAGCAGGUUGAGCUCCAAGUCUGUAAAGAGGGUGGUUGUUGGGGUGGUUAACCUGGAUGGGGAAUGCUGGAGAAGGAACUUGGGAGUAGAGCAUUAGAACACAAGAGCUGCAUUUUGAACAUGAUACAUCUGAAGAGUGUCACCCAGGUAGAGCUCCACCAGACAUCUAAAUAUAAUUGAGAAUGCAAAACAAUGGCUUUACUGGACCUCUGGGUGGAGAUUUGCAAGUCUUUUGCUUAGAUGAUGGUUGAGGCCAUAGAAGCAGUGAAGUUGUCCAUAGUGAGAAUAUUUUGUCCUAAAUACUGAAGUCAAAAAACAUGCCAUCCAUUCCUUAAAUGUUAGCAUUUAUUUGGCCAAGGAGACUGUAUAGUCAGCGUGAGCAAAAGACGGGAAAACCUGAAGAGCACAGUCAGCUUCAAUAUGGCAAAUUGAUUUUUCUCCACUCCGGCAAGCCCAGAUGGUAGCCCAGACCCUUGGUAACCUGCCCUGCGUGACUCAGGCAUGUCAUAGUUCUCACCCCGACCCCAUCAGUUCCUGGUAGGUGUCCUGUGACUCUGCUCCCGUGCUUCCCAAACCCUUUGCCAUUAUAGCACAAGUUGAAAUGGUACCCUGGGGUAGCUAUAAUAACCUGCUUACUGGAAUUCCGACUGUCCUAGACCCCGUGAGCUACCCCAGGGCCAAGGGAUUCACUGUUUUGGCACACCAUUUGGUAAGCUCUGGCUUAGACAGCCCUGUUUAAAGGUAGACGUGAUAGUUGUAGCAUUGUCAUAAUAUUGGUGCCUUUCCCUACCAGACCCAUCCCUGCUGGAGGAUUAACCUUCCUGCCCCACUGAAGUUGGCUGAGCCUUGGGACUUGCUUUAGCCAAUGAAAUCCACAAGGCCAGCAUAUCACCGACAGGGACUGUUCCAUCAGCCUUGGUCCUGGAAUGAAGAGGACGUGGAGGAGUGUCAUAGUUCACCCACCACGGACAUGAACAGAAGUGAGAAUCCAACCCUUACUCUAGUAAACCACUGAGGUUGUGGGGUCAGACUAGCAUAGCAUAAACUAGUGACAGCUGACUGCUGUGGCAUAAACUCAUUCCCUGAACACACCUUUUUACACUCCUCUACAGUAUUCUAUUAAGAAUGGCCACAGAUUACAUCAAUAGUGGUAUAUUUUUUAAUAAGUUUCAGAAUAUAAGCUGCAUAGCUUUUUAGAAUAAAAAAUAAUGAUAUAACUUCAGGUACAUGCUUUAGGACACUUGGCUAAACAACAAGCAAUCUGUGUCUUUGAUGACCACCACAAAAGGUGCCAAAUUCACAGUGUAACAUGAUAAGACACAUGGAAAUAGAUGAUCACAUCAUGGCGUGUUGCCUACAAAAGAAUGUUUUGACAAUCAGGACAUUAAAUAGAACACAGCACGCAGUUUCAAGUAGUCAAGCUCUGCUUCCUGGCCAAGUAAAAAACUCUAAAAACCAGAGGCAUUUUGACUGGAAAAAAAAAAAAAAUAGAUGUAGCUGCUUAGUUCUUCUGGA